rnacentral:rRNA from 1 species
CUUAAAGAGUUCGUAGGUGGUUGAAAAAGUUGGUGGUGAAAUCCCAGAGCUUAACUCUGGAACUGCCAUCAAAACUUUUCAGCUAGAGUAUGAUAGAGGAAAGCAGAAUUUCUAGUGUAGAGGUGAAAUUCGUAGAUAUUAGAAAGAAUACCAAUUGCGAAGGCAGCUUUCUGGAUCAUUACUGACACUGAGGAACGAAAGCAUGGGUAGCGAAGAGGAUUAGAUACCCUCGUAGUCCAUGCCGUAAACGAUGUGUGUUAGACGUUGGAAAUUUAUUUUCAGUGUCGCAGCGAAAGCGAUAAACACACCGCCUGGGGAGUACGACCGCAAGGUUAAAACUCAAAUGAAUUGACGGGGACCCGCACAAGUAGUGGAGCAUGUGGUUUAAUUCGAAGAUACGCGCAGAACCUUACCAACACUUGACAUGUUCGUCGCGACUCUAAGAGAUUAGAGUUUUCGGUUCGGCCGGACGAAACACAGGUGCUGCAUGGCUGUCGUCAGCUCGUGUCGUGAGAUGUUGGGUUAAGUCCCGCAACGAGCGCAACCCUCACUUUUAGUUGCCAUCAUUAAGUUGGGCACUCUGAAAGAACUGCCAGUGAUAAGCUGGAGGAAGGUGGGGAUGACGUCAAGUCCUCAUGGCCCUUACGUGUUGGGCUACACACGUGCUACAAUGGUAUCUACAACAGGAAGCAAGACUGCGAGGUCAAGCAAAUCCCUAAAAGAUACCUCAGUUCGGAUUGCACUCUGCAACUCGAGUGCAUGAAGCUGGAAUUACUAGUAAUCGUGGAUCAGCGUGCCACGGUGAAUGCGUUCCCGGGUCUUGUACACACCGCCCGUCACACCAUGGGAGUUGGUUCUACCUUAAGGCAA